rnacentral:rRNA from 1 species
AGUGAACGCUGGCGAUAGGCCUAACACAUGCAAGUCGAACGGCAGCACAGUAAGAGCUUGCUCUUACGGGUGGCGAGUGGCGGACGGGUGAGGAAUACAUCGGAAUCUACUUUUUCGUGGGGGAUAACGUAGGGAAACUUACGCUAAUACCGCAUACGACCUACGGGUGAAAGCAUGGGAUCUUCGGACCUUGCGCGAUUGAAUUAGCCGAUGUCGGAUUAGCUAGUUGGCGGGGUAAAGGCCCACCAAGGCGACGAUCCGUAGCUGGUCUGAGAGGAUGAUCAGCCACACUGGAACUGAGACACGGUCCAGACUCCUACGGGAGGCAGCAGUGGGGAAUAUUGGACAAUGGGCGCAAGCCUGAUCCAGCCAUACCGCGUGGGUGAAGAAGGCCUUCGGGUUGUAAAGCCCUUUUGUUGGGAAAGAAAAGCAGCAGGUUAAUACCCCGCUGUUCUGACGGUACCCAAAGAAUAAGCACCGGCUAACUUCGUG